rnacentral:rRNA from 1 species
CUGGCUCAGGACGAACGCUGGCGGCGUGCCUAAUACAUGCAAGUCGAGCGAACAGAGAAGGAGCUUGCUCCUUCGACGUUAGCGGCGGACGGGUGAGUAACACGUGGGCAACCUACCUUAUAGUUUGGGAUAACUCCGGGAAACCGGGGCUAAUACCGAAUAAUCUGUUUCACCUCAUGGUGAAACACUGAAAGACGGUUUCGGCUGUCGCUAUAGGAUGGG